rnacentral:rRNA from 1 species
GCUGGCGGCAGGCCUAACACAUGCAAGUCGAGCGGUAGCACAGAGAGCUUGCUCUCGGGUGACGAGCGGCGGACGGGUGAGUAAUGUCUGGGAAACUGCCUGAUGGAGGGGGAUAACUACUGGAAACGGUAGCUAAUACCGCAUAACGUCGCAAGACCAAAGUGGGGGACCUUCGGGCCUCAUGCCAUCAGAUGUGCCCAGAUGGGAUUAGCUAGUAGGUGGGGUAACGGCUCACCUAGGCGACGAUCCCUAGCUGGUCUGAGAGGAUGACCAGCCACACUGGAACUGAGACACGGUCCAGACUCCUACGGGAGGCAGCAGUGGGGAAUAUUGCACAAUGGGCGCAAGCCUGAUGCAGCCAUGCCGCGUGUAUGAAGAAGGCCUUCGGGUUGUAAAGUACUUUCAGCGGGGAGGAAGACGAUAAGGUUAAUAACCUUGUCGAUUGACGUUACCCGCAGAAGAAGCACCGGCUAACUCCGUGCCAGCAGCCGCGGUAAUACGGAGGGUGCAAGCGUUAAUCGGAAUUACUGGGCGUAAAGCGCACGCAGGCGGUCUGUCAAGUCGGAUGUGAAAUCCCCGGGCUCAACCUGGGAACUGCAUUCGAAACUGGCAGGCUAGAGUCUUGUAGAGGGGGGUAGAAUUCCAGGUGUAGCGGUGAAAUGCGUAGAGAUCUGGAGGAAUACCGGUGGCGAAGGCGGCCCCCUGGACAAAGACUGACGCUCAGGUGCGAAAGCGUGGGGAGCAAACAGGAUUAGAUACCCUGGUAGUCCACGCCGUAAACGAUGUCGAUUUGGAGGUUGUGCCCUUGAGGCGUGGCUUCCGGAGCUAACGCGUUAAAUCGACCGCCUGGGGAGUACGGCCGCAAGGUUAAAACUCAAAUGAAUUGACGGGGGCCCGCACAAGCGGUGGAGCAUGUGGUUUAAUUCGAUGCAACGCGAAGAACCUUACCUGGUCUUGACAUCCACAGAACUUAGCAGAGAUGCUUUGGUGCCUUCGGGAACUGUGAGACAGGUGCUGCAUGGCUGUCGUCAGCUCGUGUUGUGAAAUGUUGGGUUAAGUCCCGCAACGAGCGCAACCCUUAUCCUUUGUUGCCAGCGGUUAGGCCGGGAACUCAAAGGAGACUGCCAGUGAUAAACUGGAGGAAGGUGGGGAUGACGUCAAGUCAUCAUGGCCCUUACGACCAGGGCUACACACGUGCUACAAUGGCAUAUACAAAGAGAAGCGACCUCGCGAGAGCAAGCGGACCUCAUAAAGUAUGUCGUAGUCCGGAUUGGAGUCUGCAACUCGACUCCAUGAAGUCGGAAUCGCUAGUAAUCGUAGAUCAGAAUGCUACGGUGAAUACGUUCCCGGGCCUUGUACACACCGCCCGUCACACCAUGGGAGUGGGUUGCAAAAGAAGUAGGUAGCUUAACCUUCGGGAGGGCGCUUACCACUUUGUGAUUCAUGACUGGGGUGAA